UGGACCAUCUGUCUCGCUGGCUGCCCACACAACAAAGAAGGACCCAGGAUGGUGUUAGUACAUGUUGGAUAUCUGGUUCUCCCCGUCUUCGGCUCAGUUAGAAAUAGAGUAUCGAGGCUGGCUCUACAUUCCGCAUUUCUCAGACCUUUGUCCCCCUCCAUUGUGUAGCUAACGAUCAUCUGCUGCUGUCUGCCGUAGCCUCUGCCUGUUCUCUGCAUCUAGCUGUAUUGUGAACCCCUUCUUCCUCAUUUCCUCUUUCCAUCUGAAGACGACAUUGGCAUUAAAACCGAGUUCCCACUCAUACCGUAUCCUUCUGUGUAACAGACUAAAGAAUAACACCUUCUGUAGAAAACAGUUUGUCUUUAUUUAAACUGUCAUGUUGCUCUUUAGUGAAUAACCCAUUGUAGCAUUAGACUUUACUACAGACUGUCAUUGUGAUUCUCCCAUUCAGUGUGGAUAGACUACAUUCUGCUGUAAAUUUCUGUAAAGUGGAUACAUUUUGAUCCUCCCCGAUUCGAUUACAGCCAGGCUUGAUCGAACUCUUUGAAUAUUGUCUCCAUCCCCUGUUUGCAAAGGUGCAUUGUACCAGCUUUUGUCAUCAAUAAAGCGCUUGUAUGAUCGCCUUUUCUAAAUCACUUUUGACCAAUAAUCCCGUUAUCCUAACAUCCGCAAAUUGGCCAAUACCCGCAUUACUAAAAUCACAGUAAUUUUUGUGAUGUUAUUUUCACCUUUGAUGGUCCACUGCACCUGCUACGGUGGCGUCCAAACGGCUGUUCAUAAUCCUAUCCGUGUGUGAAAGCCUUUGUUCCUGUUAGCCGAACUGAUUUUGUCGGUCACAAUAAAGUGGCGAGACUCAGGUCUAACUCAUCUUGCCAUUUUGAAAAUGCCCCCUAUCAUUCACAGUCCCCCUCGCAAGUCUUUCUUCAGACACCUCCAGAAUGCUAUCCAUUUUACAGGGAUGUGUAUAUCCUGCACUGCUGUAGAACUCCUCUCUAGAUUCAAAAUGUCUUUUUAUUCUUUGGUUGUGGUUUUCUACCUUAUGUUCUUGUAUUAGAUCCUAAUGCAUGGUCAUUUUAUACUUUUGUUUUUCCACAUUGAACAGCAGAUUCCAAUGUAAUGUUUGUGUAGAGAUGUCCCUGCUGUACUGAAAUUUGCUGUAAGCAUACACAUCUACUCAUUGGAUGCUGCUUCUGUUAUGUUACCCCUACAGAGAGCAUGGUUGGGCCUUGCCUUUGGUCUUUAUCUGCAUGGUAUUAUUAUGGUUAUGUAGGACAUAUUACUCUUAUUAUUACUAUUAUCACACAGUGCAACACAUACUAAUAUUUUCCAAUAAAGA